rnacentral:rRNA from 1 species
CCUACGGGCGGCAGCAGUGGGGAAUAUUGGACAAUGGGGGCAACCCUGAUCCAGCCAUGCCGCGUGUGUGAAGAAGGCCCUCGGGUUGUAAAGCACUUUCAGUGAGGAAGAACGCCUGGUGGUUAAUACCCAUCAGGAAAGACAUCACUCACAGAAGAAGCACCGGCUAACUCCGUGCCCAGCAGCCGCGGUAAUACGGAGGGUGCGAGCGUUAAUCGGAAUUACUGGGCGUAAAGCGCGCGUAGGUGGCUUGAUAAGCCGGUUGUGAAAGCCCCGGGCUCAACCUGGGAACGGCAUCCGGAACUGUCAAGCUAGAGUGCAGGAGAGGAAGGUAGAAUUCCCGGUGUAGCGGUGAAAUGCGUAGAGAUCGGGAGGAAUACCAGUGGCGAAGGCGGCCUUCUGGACUGACACUGACACUGAGGUGCGAAAGCGUGGGUAGCAAUCAGGAUUAGAUACCCUGGUAGUC